rnacentral:rRNA from 1 species
CUUGGUUGAUCUUGCUAGUAGUCAUAUGCUUGUCUCAAAGAUUAAGCCAUGCAUGUGUAAGUAUGAACUAAUUCAGAUUGUGAAACUAUGAAUGGCUCAUUAAAUCAUUUAUAGUUUGUUUCAUGGUAUCUACUACUCGAAUAAUUGUAGUAAUUCUAGAUCUAAUACAUACAACAAGCCCCAACUUCUGGAAAUGAUGCAUUUAUUAGGUAAAAGGUUGAUGAGGGUUUUGCCCAUUGCUCUAAUGAUUCAUGAUAACUUGAUAGAUUGCAUGGCCUUUGUGCCAGUGAUGUAUCAUUCAAAUUUCUACCUUAUCAACUUUUGAUGGUAAGAUAGUGGCCUACUAUGGUGGUUAUAGGUGAUGUAGAAUUAGGGUUUGAUUCUAGAAAGGGAGCUUGAGAAAUGGCUACCACAUCUAAGGAAGGCAGUUGAUGCACAAAUUACCCAAUCCUAACACAGAGAGGUAGUGACAAUCUUGGCUUUAUGAGUCUUACAAUUGGACUGAGUACACUCUAAAUCUUUUAACAAGGAUCCAUUGGAAGGCAAGUCUGGUGACAAUAGCCGUGAUAAUUCUAGCUCCAAUAGUAUAUAUUUAAGUUGUUGUAGUUAAAAAGCUAUUAGUUGGAACUAGGGUUGGGUCAUCCAAUCUAUCUCAUGGUGAGCACUAGUCUACUCAUCCCUACUACUAACAAUAAACUCCUAGCCUUAACUAGCCAGAUCAUUCCUCUAAUGCUGUUACUUUGAGAAAAUUAAAGUGCUCAAAGCAAGCCUAUACCUGUAUACAUUAGCAUGGGAUAACAUCAUAGGAUUUUGGUCCUAUUGUGUUGGCCUUCAGGAUCAGAGUAAUGAUUAAUAGGGACAGUCAGGGGUAUUCGUAUUUCAUAGUUAGAGGUGAAAUUCUUCGAUUCAUGAAAGACAAACAACUAUUAAAGCAUUUUCCAAGGAUGUUUUCAUUAAUCAAGAAUGAAAGUUGUGGGCUUGAAGAUGAUCAGAUACCAUCCUAGUUUCAACCAUAAAUGAUGCUGACCAGGGAUCGACGGAUGUUACUUUUAGGACUCUGCCAACACCUUAUGAGAAAUCAAAGUCUUUGGGUUCCAAAGGGAGUAUGGUUACAAGGCUAAAACUUAAAGGAAUUGAUGGAAGGGCACCACCAGGAGUAGAGCCUAUAGCUUAAUUUGACUCAACACAGGGAAACUUACUAGGUCCAGGCAUAGUAAGGAUUGAAAAACUGAAAGCUUUUUCUUGAUUCUAUAGGUGAUGGUGCAUGGCUUUUCUUAGUUAGUGAAGCGAUUUGUUUAGUUAAUUACUUUAACAAAUGAGAACUUAGCAUGCUAACUAGCUAUGUGGAUGUGAUCUUUUAUGGCUAGCUUUUUAUAGGGACUAUGGCUGCUUAGGCCAAAGAAGUUUAAAGUAAUAAUAGGUCUGUGAUGCCCUUAGAUGUUCUGGGUCACACGUGCACUACACUGAUGUAUUCAAUGAGUCUGUAGCCUUAGCUAAUAAGCCCGAGUAAUUUUUGAAAUUUCAUUGUGAUAGGGAUAGAUCAUUACAAUUGUUGGUUUCAAUGAGGAAUUCCUAGUAAGCACGAGUCAUAGCUCAUGUUGACUACAUGCCUGCCCUUUAUACACAUUAUCAUUGCUCCUAUCGAUUGAAUGGUCUAGUGAAGUAUUUGGAUCAUGGCAAUAUGGAUGGUUCACUACUCACGAUGUCAUGAGAAGUCCACUGAACCUUAUCAUUUAGAGGAAAGAGAAGUUGUAACAAGGUUUCCAUAGGUGAACCUGUAGAAG